UAUUUAAAUCAUUACGUAGGUUAUUUUAAACUCGUAUGUUUUCGCAUCCGCGUCUCAACCUACCCACCCUUUAGUUUGGAUUCGUCCAUCUAGACCACAAAAACAUUAAUUGCCAUGGAAGGCUGUCAGUUAGUAUAUAACAGGUAGUAUUCACAGUCGACAAUAGUUGAGUCCAUCUGAUCCCAAGGCGUUACAACAGACAAGAUGCUGAAGAUCGUUGCUGCACUCGUGUGUCUGUCUGUAAUCAGCAUGGAAGUCAACUCGUUCUCCUUGGACUCCAUCGUGAAUCAGAAGGGGAAGGACCUUUGCCAAUAUUGCUCUCUCUGUUCUUAUGCAACUGACUGUGGACCAAGUUGUAGCCACGCUUUCUGUUUCUUGUGUCCCUACGCCAGCCAUUGCACUACUUCCUGCCAGAAUGAAUGCGCUACCCGGGUUACCCAAAGGUCUCGAUCCACAGACAUUUUAGGUACCCUGUCACGUCUCAUACAAGGUUAGGAGCUUGGAACAAGGCAAGAUCUUUACAGAGAGCCCGCACUACUUGAAACAUCCCCUAACGUUACAGUGACAAGAAGGCGGUCCACCUGACGACAUGUCUGUUUUCUGUCGGCCAUGAUAAAGAUAUCAUCUGACGGUCGUUCACGGCGACACCUUUGUGUUGUUGAUCAUCGGACAUACUGCCGGUCAUCAUGAAGUAACUGUAUGACCGUCUGUCAUCGUAAAGAUACCCGUCCCAGGGAUGUACGUCAUCACGCAUAAAGAAAUAUUUUUUGCAGCCGGUCAGUAUGAAGAUAUCUGUGUGUGGUCGGUCGUCAUCAAGCUGUCCAUCAAUGUCGGUGAUGGUGAUAAUAUGGAGAUUAUAUCUACUCCAUAAGAAGAUAUAUAAAUGUCAGUCCACGUGCGUCCAAGAAUGGCGUCAUCUAAAGACACUCUAGUGCUCCACACCAACCUGACCAUAGCCUGACAACAUUCCAUCUGUCAUCAUAGUGCCUCUCUGGAAACAUUGCCACUUAACGACUAGGACUGAAUACAUCCCAACAAAGCAUCUGAUCCUUGCUCCCACCGUGUAUGUAUAUAACUGUAUUUAAGUGUCUAUAAAAGUUACACUGUAAUCUAAUGAGUAUGCAAAAUUGUCUAUACCUAGAAUUGUCCUUGUCUCUGAUGAUAUAAUGUACGUGCAAUAAAAUAUAGAACCCA